GGGUUAAAGUUAAUAGAAAAGAGUGGGAUUAUAAGACAAAUAAGGACAAGUCAUUACCAACAAAUGAAACAGCUAGAUAUACUGAAUUUCAGUUGAAUCUUUACACCAAUGCUGCCUUGCUCAGUUAUGUCAGGUAGGUUGCAUUAUGAGAUAUUUUUAACCUAUUUGUUAAUUUGAAGGUAUCACACUCCAUUUUGUUCUGCAUAUGGAACUAGUGUGUACAAUGAAUACCAUACUGUAUGUUUGUUUUACUGUGAACACAAUCACCUGCAAAAAAAGGUUUGUUUUCCAAGACACAAAGCUACACUUCAUAGCACGUUGUUUACCACUUGCUGAAGUCGUACUUACCAGUACAUACCAUGAAAAGGUGUUUGCUUUCUUAGUUGUUUAAUCUUAAUACUAAAAGAAAGAAAAUAAUAGCUUCACUUGCUAUUCAUAUAACAGUCCACUUGUUCAGUGAAGCACAAGUGAUUUUUUGAUUAAUAGCUAUAACUAAAUGAUAACUAAUGACUGAUCUUAUCUCAAAAAUAAGAAAUUAUUUUUGUACAAAGUAGCUUUGGUUUCUGAAAUAACAUCCCCAUUAAAUUGCAUAAGCACACAAGAAACUGAAAAUUGGUUUGUGUAUUGUUACAACAUUUCUAGAUGCUGCUGCUCUUGACAAUAACAAAAUCCACUAUUAACUUAUCUUGUCAUGAUUACAAGUAAAAUGCUAAAACUGUUAUUUUCUCUGCAGAUUGUGAUGUUUCCUACAGGCUAUAGAGCAGAGUUUUGGGAUGGAAACACCUCCUUUAAUAAAACUGUAAAGUAAUUUAGUGAAACUUUGAAAAUACUGCUAUUUAUAUCUCACUAAUAUGAAGCUUGAUCUCAGGUGCUAAUCACUAAGGUUUUAUCUUCAUCUGAAUCAGGAGAGAAAAAUUUGAGUUUGCCUUUGGGAGGAAUUUUAAAAAAAACAUAUUUACAUGUGCUUUAUAUAAGGCCAUAUAAUCCUUUCCACAAAUUGUUUCCCUUUAACUCUUGUAAAAUUGAGUAAUUGUGAUGUUUAAUUUUCUAGAGGUAAUAGGAUAAUAAUAGAUAACAUUUACCUAGAAUAUUAGUAAUUCAAUAUUUAAGGCUGACCUAAAUAGGGUUUUUAUCCUAACUUUUCCCUGACAGUUCUAACAGAAGAAUAAGAAGCCUGCAAGUUAAACAGCAACAUCACCCAACUUUUAGAUUCCCAGGGAAGUCUUCAAAAUGCAGAGUAAUGUUAUGGAAGGCUAAAAGUAAACAAGUUCCUUCUGAACAGAAGGUUGCUCAGAGCCAGAGGAAGUGCAGGGUAUAGGGAAACAGCUGAACCUUCCCCUCUGUCAGUAAAAGCUCCAGCACUUAUCAGGUUCAGCCCAGGUGUGGGACCUGAAAUGCCCUCUGUAGGUCAGAUGCUCAUAAUAAUUUCAAAGAACAAGAGAAAACUUCUUCUCUCAAUUUUGUCAUGCAGAAGGCUGCUGAACUGUAGCACUGGUGAAACUCUGUUUUCCACCAUGUGGUCACUGACCAUCCAGCUACAGCGUGGUCUGUUUUAAGCUGAGGUUUGUGUUUCAAGCUGCACUCUGCCUGAGAUGCUUCAGGCUCUGGCUCCUCCCUUCCCCACAGCCGCCUCUGCUGGCUCUGCACUCCCCCUCUACCUUUGCCAGCUGAAGCUGAGUCCCGUGUGCAGAACGGUUGCAAAACCAGAGGGCAAAAAUGCACCUUUUUCUUAUGGCCCUGUGAUUAUAGUCUGAAACUAGGUAUGAGACAUUGCUCUGAUCUUGCCUCUACGGAUGGAUUAUAAUCAAGUCUGUGUAAAAUGCAGCCUGGGCAGGUGGGAUGGUUCUGAGUACAUUGACAGAGGCAGCUGCUGGCACUUACAGAUCCUUCACAGCAGGCUACUGCCUUUCAAUUGGUCAAGAUAACUUAUUAAUGUUUCUGAAGUGAAGCAGGUAGCAGCAAACACACUGGUGGAGAUGAUAGUUUUCAGGAAGAAGAUGUUAACACAUAGCUGGAAGUCAAAAUAUUUUCCUCUAGAGCUGGAUAAGGUAUGCCAUGCCCAAGGUCAUGGCAUCCCAUGUACACAGUAAGGAGAAUGAGGAAUAGUCAUGGAAUGAUCAGGGAUAGGUGCUGGUACUGAAGAGGACAUCAUUUACUCCCAUAUGAAGUUGUUUCAGGAAGGUAUCCUCUUCAUCACUGCAGUUCUGUUACACCUUUAUAUUUAAAUAGAAGCUAAAGUUGGAGAAUUCUGAAUAAAGAGCCAACAUAACAUUAUUUCUACAAACACAGGCUGUUGGGUAUGCCCUAUGUAAUGAUCUGGUCAUUUGUUGAAGUAACAAAGCUGUUUUUUGUCAAUUGUGUUGUUUCUCUCCCAUCCUUCACCAGUAAAACUAGUAUUGUUCCUUCCAAAAGAGAGCAAAGUACUAUCUGAAGAAAACUGUCCCACUUCUCUAUAAAGACUGCUGUAAGUCUGAUCCUCACAGAAUAGCCCUGUGAGUACUGAUGAAAUUUUUACUGUGUGCUACAGAACACAGCAAAUUUUCUCCCACAGUACCUAAAAACUUCUAAAAUACUUUAAUUAAGAUCACUGAUAAUUAUCUUCAAGGCUCUGUAAAAAAAUCAUAUAUGGGGGUUGGGGGAGGAAAUUCCUUUUUAGUAGUAAUGGUAACAGUGCUUGUACCUAUAACCUUCCCAGAUCAACUGGACUGUGAUAGCAGAAAAGGGACAGCCUAUUUAUUCAUAAGGUUUAGUGAAAGUUUAGUCAGGUAGUAUUGUGGUGUUAAUAGGAAACAAAAUACUUCCUCUAUUCUCAGUAAAAAAGAUAUGGGCUAACUGUAGAAACUUUUAAUAUCAAAGCCAAAAGGUCAAUGUUAAUUGUUUGGGAAAAAGUUAAUCUGUAGUAUUAUCUGCUAGAGUAAAUAAACUUCCUUAUUUGCAUAUUGAUAUUGGCACAGAGAUGAACAGUAAAUAGUUGGGAAAACAAUCAAAAAGGGAAAAGAUUUAUACUGGAGAUUCUUCAAAACUAAAGGUAUGAGAGAACUGUCGGUACAUGACCUUUGACAAAAAAUAAUCUAGUAUUAAACAGAAUUUUGAGACAAGAUAAAACCAACAGAAGAAAAGGAAAUUGAAAUAUCUGUUACUUAAGCCUUGCUUUAAUCAUGAACACCACGAGCAGGAAACACUUCGCAAAAUAAUCCAAUAUUGUGAAACAACUUUAAAAUUGGAAUUAUCGUUAAAAUUAAUGCCUUACUAGAGAAAUCACUUUAUACAGGGUAUUUCCUUACUCUUAUCUUACUCCAUUCUUUAACCUAUUUUUAUCUUAUCCUAUUUCUUUAACUUAUGUAUCUCCAAUCUACUUUUAUCUUGAUUCUCUUCUCUUACCAGAAAAAGGGGUUAUAAUGAAGUAUUCUAUUCCCAUAUGCUACAGAAUUUGCAUAAAUAGAGGAGAAGCCUUGAGUUUCCUUUAAUCUGUCCCCUAUUUUUUGAAGUUGUAGGUUGAACUUGCAAAGUUUUAAAAAUAUAUAUAAACCAGGAAGGCUAGAAACUUCUAAGGAAAGUGGGAUUUUCCAUGGCAAUAGCAAACUUUUAUGAGCUGAGGAAGGAUAGGGCAAAGCAAAAUCCAUUUUCUGAGCAACACAGCAAGUAACUUAGUCUUACGAAUUUUAUGAAAAAGAGCACUGCUACAAUAGUAAGAGAGAUGAGUAACUCAAAUACUGGCCUUAUAGCACCUCAGCAAUUUCUAGAAAGUAUUUGCUUCUGUUGCAUUUCAGAUUUCUCCUAAGAAGUUCAAAAGACUUAACAAACUUUUAAAAGAUACUAGAAUGGGCUAAUGCUAAAUGUUUAGUAGUAAUUCCACUGCUUCUGGAAGAAAUUUUCUAGUCUGCUCUUCUUCCUCAAACUCUAGUAGGAAAGAUUCUUAUUAAACUUGAUAAAUAAAGUUUCUUCUGCCUCAAGGAGAUAUAAGUGGAUCUCAGAUGUGGUUUGGAUAAAAAAAUCCUUUAAAAAUACAUAAAUUUAGUGAUCUGCCAUCAUGUGCAAUCUCUUAUUUCAGAAAUAACACGUUGAUGACAGCAACCAAAUCCAAUUUCUUUAGUUUUUAUUUAAAAUACAACUCAAGGUUUGUUAAAAACAAAAGAAAACAAAAGGAAAAAAAACCCACUAAUAAUCCAAACACACACACAGACACAAUUCCAUUCCUGUCAGGAACUGUAAUUAUACAAAAUGUAGCUGUAGGAAAAAUGACAUUUUAGUUUGUUGUUGCGAUAAAUUUGAGGCUUUAAACUAACAUCCCUUUGGUAUCUAGUAACUAAUUUGAAAUGUUCUGCAUAGAAGGUGCUUCUAGUGUCUCUGCAAACUGCCUGUUCUGGUUUCCAUGGCUGGAGCUCUCGCAGCCCUCCAAGCCCUCCUCGCCAAGUGUCCUGGGUUGAAAAAUGUAACCAAAAAUGUGUAUUCUAUUUUCGUCUGUUGAAGUCAGUUGGGAGAUAUUGCUCUUUAUCUCUUGUAACUCUAGGGGUGGAAAGAGGGCUGAUGCCCUCUGUUAAUGGGACACCUGAUAACACCAGAUAAGGCAGUGCCUCCUUAUCUCUUGCUCCACCCAUCCUCCUCCGAGGGACAUCACCUGUGAAUGGGCCAUUGAAGGCUCUCACAGGACUGAUAACAUCACCUCAUCCCAUUGUGAGAUGCUCCACCCAGCGGGAGGAGCCAAAGCCUUUCCACAGGGAUAAAACCAGAAAUCCCAAACACCAAGGGAGCCUGUUCCCACUGGAUUCCCAGAGGAUGACUGGAGCCUUUCUUGAGGGUCAUCUCUACUCCAAUGGAGCCACAUCUGUCACUCUGGGAGGACUCACUGCGGGCUGCUACCAACACCCUGACCAACAGGGUGUCAGGGUUGCAUUCUGACUCUGUCAGUGCUCCUUUGUACUAUUACAUUUGUCUUAUUUUAUUUUUAUUUUAUUUUUACCUUUCUUGUUGUUUGUUCUCUCUCUAUUAAAUUGUAUUUCUGAUUGGAGUCUCACUGGUUUUGCUUUCAAACCAGCACAGCAAGGCAGGCAGGCGCAGCAUGGCUAUCACCAAAGCAGCUCCCAGGUAACUUCAGACUUCCACACACAGUUCCUUAGGUUGUGACUUAUCACCUGCCCGAGGAGAGCCCCCUCCACAGCCCAGAGAGAACAAAAGAGAGCCUUGUUUGAGUAUGAAUCCCCCUGGGCCAAAUCUACACAAGCCCAGGAGUGCCCAGAAAUGUGAGGAUUGAAUUAGAACCUCCAGAAAAACUAAAAUACAUCAAUCCGCACAGACAUGCGGUAGAAAUGCAAGCUUAGUUUUAAAUAAAUAGAGGAUUUUUAAGUGCCUUAAAAGAAAUAACAGCCUGUAUUAGCUAGUAAGAGAAGCCCAAAAGUCUAGUUUAAAGUUUAGCAAUAUUGCCUUUUGCAAAGUUAGGUAAAUUCUAGUCAUAACAAAAAUAAUGUAGCCUUGCUAAAAACUCCUAGAUAUAACAGAUAGAGCUAUAUGCAUAGAAUUUAUGUAAGAAUUUGCCAAUAUUGUCGUAUAUCAAUCUUAAUUUAGGAUUGGCCCAGCAGGACUGUAGAAAAUUUGUGUAGGUACCAGAUUGGCUAAAAAUGGAAUAAAAUGCACUGUUUUGAGAAUGCUAAAACACACAGGCUCACGAAAAACACCAAUGCUGCUGCUGUUGCUAUUGCUGCGAGUAGUAUUGAUAAAACACUCACAGAACACAGAUUGAGUGCUGUGGCUGCUGCUUCUGCUUGAGACUUACAAGCUUUAUGUUAGAAGGCUCCUGCAUACUACUGUGGGCUCUGAUAACUUUUCCUUCAUGGGACUGAUUUAGCCAUGCAAUAAAGGACUUUGCUUUUACAACUACCCAUUGCCACAGUCUUCAAUGAGAACAUGCAGGAAACUUGACAGAACUCCAGAUGUCAGUUCCCUGCUCUUAAAGGGACCCAGCCACCCCCUCCUUUCCCUGAACCAUGGUAAAACACGCUGGUUCUGAUGUCUCUUUCCAGCCCUAGGUGGUAAAGAGACAGUAAAACAGACUGCAGGUAACUUAGAGGAAAUAUGCACACACGAUUUUUUUAGGUAACCUAGGACAGCAGGGUAGACACUAUGCUGUCAUUCUGGCUAGCCUCCUAGGAGGACCUUGGCUCCUGGGUUUGUUACAGAGAUCUUGGAAAUAGAUGAUUUUGUUGCAGUCAUGGCAAGAUGGGUUAUAAUCAGCAGGCUCAGAAUGCCUGAGACACAUAACCAACCUUCCUGGGGAUAUUGAUCUCCUCCCUGAUUUAUGGAGGCACUUUUGUGCAGAGUGUGCAAGUCAUCUUCAGAGUUCACAGUUGAGUGGAGAAGUGUGAGAAACUGAAACAGUUUCAGACAAAAGCCAUCAAAAAUUUGGGUACAUUUCUCUCUCUUCUGCAUACUGAUCAACUUAUCUGUGAAACAGAAUCCAAUGUUUCCUUACCAGUAAGAUGAAUGUAUUUCCUUUCAAUUUUGGUUAUGUUUUCUACGCAAACAUGGUUAACUCUGGGAAAUAAGCUACUUAGUAUACAAAAUAGUGACACACACCACAAUAAUUCAGAGAUUCUUUGUAUACAUCAGCUAACAUCACAAAGUGUGAAAGGUUUUGAACAUAUGAAUGAGGGGAACAAAGGGAAUGAAUGAAAGGAAUGAAGGGAAAACAGGUGUUGCAAUAUUAUACGCUGUAUUACCUGGGCCCUUGUAUUUUCCAAUUGGUAAUCUGGGACAAAAAAAAAGGGAUGAUAAUUAAAAGAUUUGGGGAAAAAACAAUUCAUCUUUAGGACUGACAAAACAACAGAAGCAGUUUCUUAAGUAACUGCAUUUAAAAAACUAGCAAUGCUCCAUCAAUUUUCAAGGGUCCCAUACUAGAAGAAUCUAGAGUCUAACAAAGCAGAACGAAUACUCUGAACAGAAACACCACGUAUGCAGCAAGACUUAAAUCAAUCCACGGUGCCCUGAUUUCAGACACAAAGCACCUUUCUCCAAGUCCAGAUUAAUGUUGAUAGGAACAUGGCAAAGGAACAUUGAUUAUAGGAACAUUGUCUCCUUCAAAUGUGCUGGCAUGAGCAACUGGUAACACAAACAGGACGUUGUGCAAUGAGUACACGUAGUUCUGAAAUACACAGCUCCUCAGGGAUCAGGAAGUGCUAGGAACAAAUCUUUAUUGCUUCCUCUUCAUCAAUGACAACUUUGUAUUCUAAAUGCAAAGGCAGCAAGAUGGCAGGAAAAAAAUUAAGGCCAAAUUAGUAAACUUGCAUGAAAAUGGGGGCAGUUACAGUAGGAGAUGCUAGAUCCACUCUUACAUGCAAGGCUUGUGCAAAUUACCUGACUUCAGAGGGAAGUGUGUGCCACGUGUUUCCAGUGGAGAAUGGCUGUCCCACCUAGCCUUCCCUCUCUCCUUCCACCAAGAAAGACUUGCAUUGAGGUGAAAGAAGCCCCAGAAAAAUGUUUUGAGACACACACACUUGCAUCUGACCUGCAACAGUUUUGGAUGAGCUUGUUCCUGAGAUACAAGGCAACAAACUCCACAAAAGGUAAAUGAAAGAAAUUAACACUCCUCCCUCCAAGAGGAAGCCCCAUUCAGCAGAUAAACGAGACACAUUCGAAUAACCAACCCAAGAAAGCAAAGAACUGUGAGGAAAUCCUAUGCCAGGGGCGAAAUAAACUGUAUAAAACCUGGACCCCAGAAGGGGCCAAUUUGUGAACUCUGGGGGAUUGCAGUGCAAUGGAGGCUGCUUUCCGUUCACCCUCUGACGAUCCCAGGUAUCGUCACUGUAACUCUGCUUGUUGGUUUUACCGAAAUUCUGUAACUUUAUUAUUUUAAUAAACCAAAUUAUAUUUAA